AAUGAAGGAGAUGAUGUGUUUCUUUGUGAAUAUGAGUAUGACGUAAAAUGGCACAAUUUUAAGCGCAUCGCUGAGAUA